AUUGAACGCUGGCGGAAUGCUUUACACAUGCAAGUCGAACGGUAGAGGGGGCAACCCCUCGAGAGUGGCGAACGGGUGAGUAAUAUAUCGGAACGUGCCCAGUCGUGGGGGAUAACGUAGCGAAAGUUACGCUAAUACCGCAUACGAUCUAAGGAUGCAAGCGGGGGAUCGCAAGACCUCCCGCGAUUGGAGCGGCCGAUAUCAGCUUAGGUAGUUGGUGGGGGAAAGGCUAACAAAGCAAACGAUCUGUAGCUGGUCUGAGAGGACGACCAGCCACACUGGAACUGAGACACGGUCCAGGCUCCUACGGGAGGAAGCAGUGGGGAAUUUUGGACAAUGAACGCAAGUCUGAUCUAGCCAUUCCGCGUGCAGGAUGAAGGCCCUCGGGUUGUAAACUGCUUUUGUACGGAACGAAAAGGUCUCUCUUAAUACGGGGGACUCAUGACGGUACCGUAAGAAUAAGCACCGGCUAACUACGUGCCAGCCGCCGCCGUAAGAC
rnacentral:rRNA from 1 species